AUUUAAUAUGGUGGACUGGUGGUCAGUCAAGAAAUGUUUUUGCUUGCAAAAAGAUCGUAAAAUGUUGGCGCUACAAACUCGGAAAAGAUUGUAAAUGAGAUCAGGAUAACAAGAAGGAAGUAUCCAAACAAAUUCAAAGAUGACUAAUUUUAACAUGGUUCAUAAGAAAGUCCUUCCUUGAAAACCUACCUCAGUCACUGGUGGCGAUCGAAGGUGGACAGCAAGAUCGAAGCUCAGCAAGAUUGAAGAUUGUUCGAGGAAGAAGGAGUUCGCCGUUGACUAAAAGGUUUAUCUGAACAGCUAGUUGUCAAGAUGAAUGUGAAGACUCGCCCGGCCAAAUUCAAAAUGGCGAUGCCAAAGAAAACCAUCCACGUGGAGCGUUCGCGGACCUUUCUGAGCAAGAUUGUUGUGCUGUCUGGUCAAAGUUAGCCAGUUAUCAAGACGUACGUCAAGAGAACAGUUG
rnacentral:lncRNA from 1 species